rnacentral:rRNA from 1 species
UACGGGGGGGGCAAGCGUUGUUCGGAAUUACUGGGCGUAAAGGGCGCGUAGGCGGCCUUCUAAGUCGGACGUGAAAUCCCUCGGCUUAACCGAGGAACUGCGUCCGAUACUGAAAGGCUUGAAUCCGGGAGAGGGAUGUGGAAUUCCAGGUGUAGCGGUGAAGUGCGUAGAUAUCUGGAGGAACACCGGUGGCGAAGGCGGCAUCCUGGACCGGUAUUGACGCUGAGGCGCGAAAGCUAGGGGAGCAAACGGG